AGUGAACGCUGGCGGUAGACCUAACACAUGCAAGUCGAACGGCAGCACAGUAAGAGCUUGCUCUUACGGGUGGCGAGUGGCGGACGGGUGAGGAAUACAUCGGAAUCUACUUUUUCGUGGGGGAUAACGUAGGGAAACUUACGCUAAUACCGCAUACGACCUACGGGUGAAAGCAGGGGAUCUUCGGACCUUGCGCGAUUGAAUGAGCCGAUGUCGGAUUAGCUAGUUGGCGGGGUAAAGGCCCACCAAGGCGACGAUCCGUAGCUGGUCUGAGAGGAUGAUCAGCCACAGUGGAACUGAGACACGGUCCAGACUCCUACGGGAGGCAGCAGUGGGGAAUAUUGGACAAUGGGCGCAAGCCUGAUCCAGCCAUACCGCGUGGGUGAAGAAGGCCUUCGGGUUGUAAAGCCCUUUUGUUGGGAAAGAAAAGCAGCAGGUUAAUACCCCGCUGUUCUGACGGUACCCAAAGAAUAAGCACCGGCUAACUUCGUG
rnacentral:rRNA from 1 species